GAACCAGUGUGGCAUAAUGGUUUGAACGCUGGACUAUGACUCUGGAGACCGGGGUUCGAUUCCUGCUGGACCA